rnacentral:rRNA from 1 species
AUUGAACGCUGGCGGCAGGCCUAACACAUGCAAGUCGAGCGAGCGGCGGACGGGUGAGUAAUGUCUGGGAACCCGCCUGCUGGAGGGGGAUAACUACUGGAAACGGUAGCUAAUACCGCAUAUCAUCAGGUGUGCCCACAUGGGAUUAGCUAGUAGGUGGGGUAACUGCUCACCUAGGCGACGAUCCCUAGCUGGUCUGAGAGGAUGACCCGCCACACUGGAACUGAGCCGCGGUCCAGACUCCUACGGGAGGCAGCAGUGGGGAAUAUUGCGCAGUGGGCGCAAGCCUGAUGCAGCCAUGCCGAGUGUGUGAAGAAGGCCUUCGGGUUGUAAGGCACUUUCAGCGGGGAGGCGUUACCCGCAGAAGAAGCACCGGCUAACUCCGUGCCAGCAGCCGCGGUAAUAC